GGUUAAGCGACUAAGCGUACACGGUGGAUGCCCUGGCAGUCAGAGGCGAUGAAGGACGUGCUAAUCUGCGAAAAGCGUCGGUAAGGUGAUAUGAACCGUUACAGCCGGCGAUGUCCGAAUGGGGAAACCCAGUGCAAUUCGUUGCACUAUCGUUAACUGAAUACAUAGGUUAACGAGGCGAACCGGGGGAACUGAAACAUCUAAGUACCCCGAGGAAAAGAAAUCAACCGAGAUUCCCCCAGUAGCGGCGAGCGAACGGGGAGCAGCCCAGAGUCUGAAUCAGCUUGUGUGUUAGUGGAACGGUCUGGAAAGUCCGACGGUACAGGGUGAUAGUCCCGUACACCAAAAUGCACAGGUUGUGAACUCGAAGAGUAGGGCGGGACACGUGGUAUCCUGUCUGAAUAUGGGGGGACCAUCCUCCAAGGCUAAAUACUCCUGACUGACCGAUAGUGAACCAGUACCGUGAGGGAAAGGCGAAAAGAACCCCGGCGAGGGGAGUGAAAAAGAACCUGAAACCGUGUACGUACAAGCAGUGGGAGCACCUUCGGGUGUGACUGCGUACCUUUUGUAUAAUGGGUCAGCGACUUAUAUUCUGUAGCAAGGUUAACCGUAUAGGGGAGCCGCAGGGAAACCGAGUCUUAACUGGGCGUUAAGUUGCAGGGUAUAGACCCGAAACCCGGUGAUCUAGCCAUGGGCAGGUUGAAGGUUGGGUAACACUAACUGGAGGACCGAACCGACUAAUGUUGAAAAAUUAGCGGAUGACUUGUGGCUGGGGGUGAAAGGCCAAUCAAACCGGGAGAUAGCUGGUUCUCCCCGAAAGCUAUUUAGGUAGCGCCUCGUGAACUCAUCUUCGGGGGUAGAGCACUGUUUCGGCUAGGGGGUCAUCCCGACUUACCAACCCGAUGCAAACUACGAAUACCGAAGAAUGUUAUCACGGGAGACACACGGCGGGUGCUAACGUCCGUCGUGAAGAGGGAAACAACCCAGACCGCCAGCUAAGGUCCCAAAGUCAUGGUUAAGUGGGAAACGAUGUGGGAAGGCACAGACAGCCAGGAUGUUGGCUUAGAAGCAGCCAUCAUUUAAAGAAAGCGUAAUAGCUCACUGGUCGAGUCGGCCUGCGCGGAAGAUGUAACGGGGCUAAACCAUGCACCGAAGCUGCGGCAGCGACACUAUGUGUUGUUGGGUAGGGGAGCGUUCUGUAAGCCUGCGAAGGUGUGCUGUGAGGCAUGCUGGAGGUAUCAGAAGUGCGAAUGCUGACAUAAGUAACGAUAAAGCGGGUGAAAAGCCCGCUCGCCGGAAGACCAAGGGUUCCUGUCCAACGUUAAUCGGGGCAGGGUGAGUCGACCCCUAAGGCGAGGCCGAAAGGCGUAGUCGAUGGGAAACAGGUUAAUAUUCCUGUACUUGGUGUUACUGCGAAGGGGGGACGGAGAAGGCUAUGUUAGCCGGGCGACGGUUGUCCCGGUUUAAGCAUGUAGGCUGGUUAUCCAGGCAAAUCCGGAUAAUCAAGGCUGAGGUGUGAUGACGAGGCACUACGGUGCUGAAGUAACAAAUGCCCUGCUUCCAGGAAAAGCCUCUAAGCAUCAGGUAACAUCAAAUCGUACCCCAAACCGACACAGGUGGUCAGGUAGAGAAUACCAAGGCGCUUGAGAGAACUCGGGUGAAGGAACUAGGCAAAAUGGUGCCGUAACUUCGGGAGAAGGCACGCUGGUGUGUAGGUGAAGUCCCUGCGGAUGGAGCUGAGACCAGUCGAAGAUACCAGCUGGCUGCAACUGUUUAUUAAAAACACAGCACUGUGCAAACACGAAAGUGGACGUAUACGGUGUGACGCCUGCCCGGUGCCGGAAGGUUAAUUGAUGGGGUUAUCCGUAAGGAGAAGCUCUUGAUCGAAGCCCCGGUAAACGGCGGCCGUAACUAUAACGGUCCUAAGGUAGCGAAAUUCCUUGUCGGGUAAGUUCCGACCUGCACGAAUGGCGUAAUGAUGGCCAGGCUGUCUCCACCCGAGACUCAGUGAAAUUGAACUCGCUGUGAAGAUGCAGUGUACCCGCGGCAAGACGGAAAGACCCCGUGAACCUUUACUAUAGCUUGACACUGAACAUUGAGCCUUGAUGUGUAGGAUAGGUGGGAGGCUUUGAAGCGUGGACGCCAGUCUGCGUGGAGCCAACCUUGAAAUACCACCCUUUAAUGUUUGAUGUUCUAACGUUGGCCCCUGACCGGGGUUGCGGACAGUGUCUGGUGGGUAGUUUGACUGGGGCGGUCUCCUCCCAAAGCGUAACGGAGGAGCACGAAGGUUAGCUAAUCCUGGUCGGACAUCAGGAGGUUAGUGCAAUGGCAUAAGCUAGCUUGACUGCGAGCGUGACGGCGCGAGCAGGUGCGAAAGCAGGUCAUAGUGAUCCGGUGGUUCUGAAUGGAAGGGCCAUCGCUCAACGGAUAAAAGGUACUCCGGGGAUAACAGGCUGAUACCGCCCAAGAGUUCAUAUCGACGGCGGUGUUUGGCACCUCGAUGUCGGCUCAUCACAUCCUGGGGCUGAAGUAGGUCCCAAGGGUAUGGCUGUUCGCCAUUUAAAGUGGUACGCGAGCUGGGUUUAGAACGUCGUGAGACAGUUCGGUCCCUAUCUGCCGUGGGCGCUGGAGAAUUGAGGGGGGCUGCUCCUAGUACGAGAGGACCGGAGUGGACGCAUCACUGGUGUUCGGGUUGUCAUGCCAAUGGCACUGCCCGGUAGCUAAAUGCGGAAGAGAUAAGUGCUGAAAGCAUCUAAGCACGAAACUUGCCCCGAGAUGAGUUCUCCCUGAGACUUUAAGUCUCCUGAAGGAACGUUGAAGACGACGACGUUGAUAGGCCGGGUGUGUAAGCGCAGCGAUGCGUUGAGCUAACCGGUACUAAUGAACCGUGAGGCUUAACCUU
rnacentral:rRNA from 1 species